UGAUGCCAGGGGCAAAAGCCUGAAACCACGAUGUGCUUGCACAGGAGUGGUUUUAUGGCUUAAUGACCCGCCCCGAUAUGAGCAUAAAAGUGGAGCGUCAGCUUCACGAUAUGCGAAUAUUGGGUAGAAUUGUGGGAGUACGAAGUACGGAACAAUUCGUAUGGCAUCU
rfam:Roseburia sp. CAG:50 genomic scaffold, scf96